AACCAAGCUACUAAGGGCAUACGGUGGAUGCCUAGGCGCCAGGAGCCGAUGAAGGACGUGGUAGGCUGCGAUAAGCUCCGGGGAGCCGCCGAACAGGCUUUGAUCCGGAGAUCUCCGAAUGGGGG
rnacentral:rRNA from 1 species